CUUCCUUCUCUUCCGUUCCUUCUCGCCUCGCUUGCUGUCGUCCUCUCUCCACUUCCUCGUCCAUUGCAGCAUUCACUCAAACACCAUCUCUUGCAUUCGGAGCCCUCGACCGAUGUGGUUCCUCAGGGGGAGAUCUUCGGCGAAGACGACGGCCACGACGACCACGACGGAGACGCGGGUAGUGAGCUUCUAGAAGAAGAAGAGAAGGAAGAAGUGCCAGAACCGGCCUAUCGACAGCCAAGGACGGCCGGGAAAGUGCCUGAUCUGAGUGUGAAGGAGAAGAAAGAGCUUGCAUCGUGGGUUUUCGAGGGCUAAUUGUUGGGACCAUCAUCAUAUAUAGGCCCAGCAUUACCAAAAUGCGGGCAGAGGGGAAGAAGUAACAGGCUCACAGGGUGUUUGUUAGAAAAGGAGCUGACCCCAAUCUGCUGCUCUUGAAGAAAUGUCAACCAUCAAGACUUGCAGGACGUGGUCGUCAUGACAACACUGGGGUCGGAUUGAUCGACUCGCCGCCUCAGCUACAUUUGUUGACCCUGUAAUUAGGCCCUUGAUCAACACUUUUCCUGCUAAAAUGAAGUACGAGUGGAAGCGGCAUUUAGAGGCUUGGAGACACGGAUCUGGUUUAGACUAUGAGCUAUGAGGAUGGAUAGCCACAGGACAAGAUCUUUGUCAAAUGGGUUGCUGAACAUACUAGUGUGAAGUGUUACGGAGAACUUGGUGGCACUUCAACAAUGUAUCUUUUUCUUUGUAAUUGUCCAUUUUAGUGGAGGAAUUGUUGGAAAUGCUAGUAGGAGGAUUACCCUGCUAACAUUCAACUCCAAUCUUUUCCACCAUUAGCACAUAGGUCAAGUGCACAUCUACCUAUCCAAGUUGCCGACCAUCGAUGGUAGUCACUAGCUACAAGUUUGCGGGUCGGUUCGGGUACCCUAAAUGUUUUCUUUAUCA